AUAUCUCUGGAGGGUACAAUAUAGUCUAAUUUUCUUCAUUAUUCAAUUUGGAUCCUGUUAAGUGAGACAGGCAUUCACUGAUAAGAAGGAACAUUUAAGUUUUGGCAAAUAAGUUCAUUAGUAUUCAGAAAGCUUUGCACCCCUCAUAUUUAAUAAACCUUUCCAUUACAGAGUAAGAAAU
ensembl:misc_RNA